AACGCAGAUGGCGCCCCCCGGCACGUGCUGGAGGGCAUGCCUGUUUGAGAAUCAUUUCAUGCCAUCUCUGGAUGCUGCGCGCAUGCUCUUUGCGUGGCACUGGGACAUGGGUGCUCACCGGUGAGUGCCUGGAAUGCGUGCACGGGGAUGGGUCGUGAGGGUGGUGCGUGAGCAGCAGUGGAUCGACCCAGUCCCCCGUUUCCUUCCCUUUUCAUGAUCUCAAAUCAGGCAGGACUACCCGCUGAACUUAA
rnacentral:misc_RNA from 1 species